UAUUACUUUUAUUAUAUUUAUAACCAUCGGAUCUACCUAGCAAUACACGGAUGCGAUAUAGAUUAGUUUAUAACAACUGCAACGGUGAAAACCUGUCAGUGUUCAUGCAACCACGCCCAAAAAAAUAGAAUUAUUUGCCAAUCAAUACAUAAAUUGUUCAAGUUGUAAAAUGUGUAAAUCUGGGUUUGAGCUUCUACAAGUUCUGCAAAUACAUGUGUAGUGAUUAGCUCUGAUUCGGAUGUAAAACUGAAACAUCAACACUACGAACACGUGGACUGAAGUUACACCCUCAAGUUAUCAACUGUGUUACGACACAUUAAAAUCUGAAAAUUGUAAGACACCGAUCCAGCGAACAUCAACUCUUUUAAAUAUGAGUAGUAAGUAGUAACACCAUAGGAACCGGCAUUUGGAAAAAAAUACACAACGGCGAGGUGAAUUUUCAAGAAUAACAGAGAGCCAGAAGGAAGCUGUGAUGUCCAAAAUUUACCAAUCUUUCGCAAGAAAUUUUGUUCCCACUGCUAGUUCGUAUCUUACAGAAUUGGGAGAUGAUAGCAUUGAAAUUCCUUACAAAAUUACUCAAUUUCGAAAGUUGUUUCGCAACAUGGGCUAUUGCUUUCGAGAUUUAACCGGCGACAAUACAUAAUGGAGUCUGAGCGGAUCGUUCGCUGGAGCAUUGAAUAUUUAAAUAAAAUUGCAGAAUUUCGUGAGGAUCACAAAAAUAUCGUGUAUUUAGAUGAGACGUGGUUUGACACUCACGAUAUAAAAAUUAAAGGUGUAAGUGGUGGUAGUCGAAAAUGCGUCAUGAACGUGCCAUCACGUCGUGGCAAACGCGUGAUUAUUUUGCAUGCGGGUGGUGCAAAUGGAUGGCUCAAAAAUGGACUUUUAAUUUCUGUAAAAAAUAGUAAAGACUCUAACGCGGACUAUCAUGAAAAUAUGUCAGCCGCUUUGUUUGAGGAAUGGAUGCAGCACCAACUUUUCCCAAAUUUACCGGAAGGCUCGAUCAUUGUGAUGGACAAUGCGCCCUCACAUUCGCGUCUCGCGGAAAAAAUUCCAAAUUCGUCAACCAGAAAAGCUGACAUUGUUAGUUUUAUUAGAAAUAAAAACAUCGAUAUUCCGGAAUCAGCUAAAACGAGAAAAGACCUUUUAGGAAUCGUUUCUAAAUACAAUUUUUCUAAAACAUAUGCGGUAGAGGAGUUGGCCAAAAGUCAUGGAUUUCAAAUUUUGAGGUUACCACCUUAUUUUUGUAUCUUUAAUCCUAUUGAAUUAAUUUGGAGUCAACUAAAACGGAAAGUUAGAAAGUGUAAUGAUCAUCCUGAAAGUUCUCCAAAAGUUGUAGAAUUAAUAAGAGCUAAAGUUGAGACGAUUUCUCCAGAAGUAUGGCGAAAUUGCAUUAACCAUGUAGAAAGUAUAGAACAGACAUUUCGAACAACCCCAACCUGACGACGAUUUCAUUUGAUUGGUGUAUGUGUAAGUGUUGUGUUGUGUACUUAUGUAAAUAUAAUUUUGUGUGUUUAAAUAUAUCGUAUUGUUGUCGGUC